UACGUAGGGUGCAAGCGUUGUCCGGAAUUAUUGGGCGUAAAGAGCUCGUAGGCGGCUCGUCGCGUCGACCGUGAAAACCCGCGGCUUAACUGCGGGCUUGCGGUUGAUACGGGCGUGCUAGAGUUCGGUAGGGGAGACUGGAAUUCCUGGUGUAGCGGUGAAAUGCGCAGAUAUCAGGAGGAACACCGGUGGCGAAGGCGGGUCUCUGGGCCGAUACUGACGCUGAGGAGCGAAAGCGUGGGGAGCGAACAGG
rnacentral:rRNA from 1 species